rnacentral:lncRNA from 1 species
AUCAUCAAUUACAACAAUACACUGCCCCCUUCACAACAAUUCAUAAUACAUGUCUUGGAUAGUACUCACCUGUUUGUGCAGCCCCAUGCAGCUGAAAUGAUAAGAAGCGCCAUUUCCGAAUUUAGAGAUCAGAAUUCUUAUGAGAAGCCUACUUGAAUCCUUUAGAUUUAGAGACCAAAUUGGUCACAUUGUAUUUGUAUCUUGGUUUAUUGUGUCCAUGUAUCAAAUCUCCCUUCCAGCUCUGUCACCUGUAGCUCUUAUUUGAACACAUUGAAGUAAGCCACAGAGCUUUUUGAAAAAAAUUGGUUGACGUUGUUCCGAUUUAUUUAGUCGCACACACAUUUGCUUCUAAACUGGUUGUGCAAGGAUAAUGGGUUCCUUUCCUUUGCAAUUGCUUGUGAAUCUAAUGAGAUUGGAUGAUUUAAUUCUAAACUACCAAAUUAAGAUUUUGUCUGCUACUGUUGUGCUCCUUGAUGACACUGGUUAUUAUAAUGGAAAAUGCAAUUUCUAUUUUAUUUUUCAUAGGUUACAUUUUUAUGAAGAAAAAAGAAACGAAGAAGAACGGAAGAAAAGAUUCUAAAACAUUUAUACCCAUUGUGUCGCCAGCCGUGGUUCUCGAACAGACGACCUUAACUAUAAAGGCCUAACGGUCUGCCAACUGAGCUGGACAUGCUGUUGUAGUUUAAAUUACGCACUAUUCUUAUUUAUAGAGUCCCACAUUGGGCUAUUAUAAUAGUUAUUUACACCUUAAAAAUAGGGGUGCUAUUGAUAAUAACACCAAGACCUUUGGGAUAAAACCCCACACCUAUAAGAGCAUUUUCAGCAGCUAAGGCUGGGCUCCGGCUGGGGGGGGGGGGGGGGGGGGGGGGGUUAAACAAAAAAAAGGGUUUCCAAAAAAAAAAAAUUCCCCGGGAAAAUGGGGGGGACCCAAAAAAAUGGGGGGGCCCAAGGGAAGGGGGGCCCAAGGGGAGGGUGGAAAUCACAGGGUAAAUCCCCUGCGAUUCGACCCUGGUGCCAAAUUUUUUAAAUAGCCCCCGUGGCGCGCGCUAGGCUCUCCGAUCAUAUUUUGUCCAGCAAUCCAACAGUAGGCAAUGUUUGUGCAAUAAAAAAAUGAAAUAAAAAGGAUAAAAAUACCAAAAAAUGUACUAAUCUUUCCUCUCUAUACCUUAUUUCCAUUUUCAAAUGUCUUUGUCUUUUUACUUUCAUUUAUUUUUAUAUUACUCCAUUUACUUAAGUUUACAAUGUAAAUAAGGAAGUACCCCCCAUUUGGAUUCAAAUAAAAAUACUAGAAAAUCAAAUUCCCACCAAAUCAAAAUAUGAAAAAUCGGUUUUAGUGCAAAAUACAAUUUAGGCUAAAAAUGAUGGCUCAUUAUGUCAAUAUAUACUUCAUAUUAAAAUUCUAUAAAAUCAAGUUUUCUUAUUUGAUGUGUAAGGAAUAAAGGCCGCCAAAAAUUAUCUUGAGAAAAUGAUUAUUCAGAAAAAUCAUUUUUCAUACUUAGUCAAUAUUGCACCUACGCUACAAAAAUUCUGGGUCCGCUAAUGUCUAUAAAUACCAACCAAUACUCUUCACUUUUAACACCAAAUCCUCAUACUUUUUUUUUUCCUAUAAAUACCAACCAAUACAACUAAUAAAAUAAAAUCAUAUCAAAAAAUAUUAUCCAAUAUGAAUAGUAUUGACACAUAGAAACCCAAAAAUCUUAUCCGAAAAUAUUAUCCAAAUUAAUUGUUUAAGUAAAAACAGUUGUGGAAAAAACAAAAAAAUGAAUAGUAUUUGCUAUGGCAAAGGGCAACUGCUGGAAACACAUUUUGCUCGGGGGGCUAGGGUAGCCACUAUUCACCUGAAUAGUAGCUGCCCUAGGGCUCCCCUUACCAUGGCAAGGGGCAAACUGCUAGAAAUGCUCUAAUAGCCAAAAGGAAAUCUAUUGAAUUUAGGUGGCUAAGUUGGGGACAAUAUCGAUGCUAGUGGUGGACCAAUGCGGGAUUUGGUACUAGCAUUGCAUAGUGCUGGUGGGGUAAUCCUACGAGAGUUAGGUACCAACACGCAUUAGUGUGAGUGGUGGCCCUAUGCAUUGGUUCGGUGUACCAACACGCAUAAAAUAGAGGCCCACUACUAACAGCACCCGAGGCCUUUUGUACAAAAUUUAUUCGCAUAUCCGCAUCUUUUCGUAUUAAAUUAUAUUUUUAAUUUCUUUUUAAAAUCUGGCGAAACAAAGAAAAAAGAAAGAGAACCUUUUACCCAGAAAAAAGAAAAAAAAGAGAGAACAAGUGUUGCCGGCUCAAGCGGAUCCCGCCUCAGUCUAUUUCUUCUUCCUCUUUCCCAAGCUCUCAACUUCCUAUCUCUGUUUGCGCGAAAGUGGCAGUCUCGUUUCACCCGACCACUUCUACUCCAAGCUUUCAGCCCCAAGCUAGACUCGCUCCUCCUCUCAGGUUCUCUCCCGCGUGGGUUAAAGCUUCAAUAUUUAGGUACUCACUGCCUCUCUUGUUAGAUAAUUUUGGUCUUCUUUUCUGCGACGUAUCAAUAAUUAAUUUGCUUUUUUAUUUUAUUUUUUAUUUUAUAACGAAACUAAGGAACUUUUGGAACUAAAAACCCCAACUUGACGGUUGAGUUCUACGGCAAAGUUAAUAAGAGCCUUCAAUCCAGAUAACUAAAUUAUGGGCUUGUAUACAUUUGUUUAAUCCUUCCGAAUUUUGAUAGUUUUGUGCCAAAAGUUAGCGUAUAUCCAAUAUAUUGGUUGUAAAUAUCCUAGUGCAGCUAACUCCAAUAUGGUGUUUGAAUGAGGUUCUUGUGUGCUGGUUUCCUAAAAAUUUAUCUGUUUGAAUUUUGGGCAACGCGGCAACAAUGAGAUUGUUUAUUUGUUUGUUGUAUUAUCUAAUAUAAUGAGAUUGUUUAUUUAUUUGUUUGUUGUAUUAUCUAAUAUAAUGAGAUUGUUUAUUUAUUUGUUUGUUGUAUCAUCUUAGACUUGUUUCUUUGUUCCUCAAUGAAGUAUCGUUGAGAGACUGCAAGGAUGUGGCUGAUUACAGCCUAUAAUCACAAAAUAAAAACUGAGGUUGGCUUGUUUCUGUUGUAUGGUAAAAAUUAAAUGUUUGUUCUAUUUUUGACAUGCCAUCUAAUUUGUUAUAUUCUUCCCUUCUUUGAUAUGAAGCCUUCUUUAGUAUACUAUUUUUCAGGAAAAUAAAUAUGCUCAAUUUGGUUUGAUUCUUUUGAAAUAAACAGAAUAAGUUACAAUUUAGCAUGUUAACUUUUUUUUUAUCUGAGAGACUUGUGGAAUGCUCUAGUAAUUCAUUACAGUUAAUUUCAUAUGAAUUGGACAUACAGUUUGUUGACCUAGAAGGUUAUAGGUACAUGUUAUAAAAUUAGAUAUGAAACACAUCUAGGCAUGGCCCUUUAUUUUGUGUAUCACCAGCAAGGAGGCUUGCAGUCCACUCAUGCUGAUUAUUUGAACCAAUUUCCUUUUACAUCUCUCUUGAAGCUUUCUUCUUUGUGUUUUUUAUCCAAAUAUUUCAAAUGAUCCUGUGCAUUUAGUAUUUGAUUUCUAUUGUCAAUUAGUACUAUUUGUAGUAGCGGUCCUUAUAUAUCGUAUUAACAAUCGAAAGAUGGUCGAAAGAAAAAAUCUCUAUUUGACAGGGCUUCUUCCUAUACCUAUGAAUUUCAUUGGACCCAGAAAUGAUACAUUGGAAGAAUCUUUUGGGUAGCUAGAUACAAAAUAAGAAAUAAAAGUAGAUCAAAUUGACAUCUUAAGUCAAAUUUUUUGAGUGGAUUUCAACUUAAUGGAGUUUUAGUGGAAUCCCAUUUUGAUUGUGUUUCCCUAAGAAAUCUUCUGUUUUCUGGGAAUGUAGUACCGGGAACGUGUUAUCUUCAUUUGGCAGAAUAUAGAGGAAGAGUUUGGCAAUCAGAUUUUGGCAACAAUGCUGAUGUAGUACAGCCCGUAGGUAUUAGAUUAAGCACUUGAACAAUCGAACAGAGAAGAAUAUAAGAGAUCGAAGAGAAGAAAUAUAGAUCGAAAAGACGAGAUAAAGGGCAGAAACAGUAGAACAAAGAUGAAUAUCGGAAAUCGAGGAGAAGAAAAUAUAGACCGAAGGGACAAAAUCAGAGAGUUCUAGGAAAAGGUUUACUCAACAUUCAAAUCUGAAUUUUAAAGAACUAAAUGGGGUUAUUUAUAGCAAACUAAAACCUAUAAAUAAUAGGAUAAAAACCCCUUGCUUAAACAGAAAUCCUAAUUGACCAAAAAAAAAAAACAGAAAUCCUAACCCAAAUAAAAUAGGAAACUUAAAACUAGAAAUAUGGAAAUCUGGAAAAGUAGAAAUCCUACUAGUAAUUGGAAAACUAGAGAAUCUAGGAAACAAACAAAUACAUUAGGAAACUAAAUAAAUUUAGGUCAUACGCGUCCUGCAUCAAAUGCUGUACCUUGACACUAUUGAUUCUUCCAAAAGGCUUUAUAUAUAUAUAUAUAUAUAUAUAUAUAUAUAUCAAUGGUCCUCGUGGAGAUGUGAGCUAUCAGAUUUUCAUGAUGAUUAUACUUCUUUCUUGAUAAUUUUUUUCCAUGUUCCAUAUAUCUGAAACUUGCACCAUUUUGCAGCUUACUCCAAGCAUGGCUAUCUAUGAUACUAUGCAGAGCUUAUAGAGUUCCGUUGGCACCCAUUGUGUGGGCUAUGCCUUUAAUUUAGCAGCCUUUCUUCUUGCAGCUGGAGAAAAGUUAAUAGUACUGAAUCCAAGUUGAUAAAAUCCUUAGUACUAAUGUUCAUCACGAAGGUGAUGAACGCAAGUUUUUUUCUUUUUGCCUCAGAAGUUAAUACAGCUAAAUAGUGCUGUGAUGAUGUGGUAUAAUGUGGGGGAAUCUAAUUUUCUGUAGAAAAUGACUGAUGAUGGCCUUUCAUGUCCAUUUUGUUGCUAUCUGAGCUCUUCUCACACAUGCUAUUUAGCAACCCCUGUACAUUAAUGAUUUGAUGCAUUAUCUUCAUGUUCGAUGUGACUUAAAAGGAUUGUUGCUUUGAUCUAUUGAAUAAAAAUAAUAUAUAUUAAAAAAUUCAAAUAUAUUAUAUAGUGUCCGAACUUUUUAGUUGUAACUUGCGAAAAAAUUUCCGAAUAAAACAUGUACAUAUUUUAUUCGUAUUUUUCCCGUUCCGUAUUUUACUUACUAUGAAAGAAUGUGAGAGGCUAAGAUUAUUUCUUACUUGUUGUAAAAAAAAAUGCAAGAUGGUGAAUCCAUCUUCUAUUAUAUUUGCGUAAAAGAAUUAGUUAUUAGUUUAGGCACUGAAUCCAUCAAACACUGGCUAAAUAUGUAUAUGGUUUAACAGAUACUGCUUUGUUAUGUAAUGGAACUAUUUUCAUUACUUUGAUUAAUUCUUUCUUGUGACGCUUAGGACUAGAAGUUAUACCAUUAAGCUUUCGCUUAGCAUAUCAUCUCUCUCUUCCUUUGUAUGCUAAGGUUUAGGAUCAUUAUAAUCGAAGUAUUUUGGUCUCAUCUCUUGGUUUUUGUUGCUGUUGUUGCAUUUCAGAAUUUUUGAGGGUUUUGAUACGAGAUGGUGAACGCCACUAAAGGAUUGUUCGUCUCUUGGUAAGCUAAUUGUAUGAACUUUCUGUUGUGCAUUUCUUAAUUUUACAAAAACAAGCAUGGGUUUCGAGGAUAUUUGGUUGCGGUUCCUCCUCUCCUUCACAUAUUAUAAAACUAUGUCAAAACAUAAUAACGAAAAUAUGAGAAGUUUAACAUUUUGUAUUGCUGAUUGUCAUUUGGUUUGACAGCUUUUCUCUUUUGGGUGUUAGUCUUGACCUUUUUUGUACUGGUAGCUCCAAUGGAGGGUAUGGUCAUCACAGAUUGACAAUAAUGUUUUUGAGUUGAAAGUGAGGCCUUGAUUAUGAAGCUUCUGUGGCUUGUGUAAAUUCUAUGAUACAAAGAGCAAUCCACCAAUAGAUUUUGAUUUAUCCAGGCAUUCAUUGCCUGUUGAAUUGAUCCAGCAGUUCCUAAAAGAGUAGUUUGAGUUGCUUCUUUUUCCCUCGUCAAGCCCUCUUUGUUUCCGAAACCAACCAUUUGUAACUCUCUUGUGCAGCGACAUACCUAUGGCGCAAUUCAUCAUCAAUUACAACAAUACACUGCCCCCUUCACAGCAAUUCAUAAUACAUGUCUUGGAUAGUACUCACCUGUUUGUGCAGCCCCAUGCAGCUGAAAUGAUAAGAAGCGCCAUUUCCGAAUUUAGAGAUCAGAAUUCUUAUGAGAAGCCUACUUGAAUCCUUUAGAUUUAGAGACCAAAUUGGUCACAUUGUAUUUGUAUCUUGGUUUAUUGUG